rnacentral:rRNA from 1 species
CUAGCGGCGGACGGGUGAGUAACACGUAGGCAACCUGCCUCUCAGACUGGGAUAACAUAGGGAAACUUAUGCUAAUACCGGAUAGGUUUUUGGAUCGCAUGAUCUGAAAAGAAAAGAUGGCUUUUCGCUAUCACUGGGAGAUGGGCCUGCGGCGCAUUAGCUAGUUGGUGGGGUAACGGCCUACCAAGGCGACGAUGCGUAGCCGACCUGAGAGGGUGACCGGCCACACUGGGACUGAAACACGGCCCAAACUCCUACGGGAGGCAGCAGUAGGGAAUUUUCCACAAUGGACGAAAGUCUGAUGGAGCAACGCCGCGUGAACGAUGAAGGUCUUCGGAUUGUAAAGUUCUGUUGUCAGGGACGAACACGUACCGUUCGAACAGGGCGGUACCUUGACGGUACCUGACGAGAAAGCCACGGCUAACUACGUGCCAGCAGCCGCGGUAAUACGUAGGUGGCAAGCGUUGUCCGGAUUUAUUGGGCGUAAAGCGCGCGCAGGCGGCUAUGUAAGUCUGGUGUUAAAGCCCGGGGCUCAACCCCGGUUCGCAUCGGAAACUGUGUAGCUUGAGUGCAGAAGAGGAAAGCGGUAUUCCACGUGUAGCGGUGAAAUGCGUAGAGAUGUGGAGGAACACCAGUGGCGAAGGCGGCUUUCUGGUCUGUAACUGACGCUGA